UACGUAGGGUGCGAGCGUUGUCCGGAAUUACUGGGCGUAAAGAGCUCGUAGGUGGUUUGUCGCGUUGUUCGUGAAAACUCACAACUCAAUUGUGGGCGUGCGGGCGAUACGGGCAGACUGGAGUACUGCAGGGGAGACUGGAAUUCCUGGUGUAGCGGUGGAAUGCGCAGAUAUCAGGAGGAACACCGGUGGCGAAGGCGGGUCUCUGGGCAGUAACUGACGCUGAGGCGCGAAGCCAGGGGAGCGAACGGG
rnacentral:rRNA from 1 species